CGCGUAGGCGGGUCGCCAAGUCAGGGGUGAAAUCUUUCGGCUUAACCGGAAAACAGCCUCUGAUACUGGCGGUCUCGAGCGAGGUAGGGGCGGUUGGAACUUCCGGUGGAGCGGUGAAAUGCGUUGAUAUCGGAAGGAACGCCGGUGGCGAAAGCGAACCGCUGGACCUUAUCUGACGCUGAGGCGCGAAAGCCAGGGGAGCAAACGGGAUUAGAUACCCCGGUAGUCCUGGCCCUAAACGAUGGGUACUAGGUAGUGGACUGGACAUGGGUUCCCUGCCGAAGCAAAAGUGAUAAGUACCCCGCCUGGGGAGUAUGGUCGCAAGGCUGAA
rnacentral:rRNA from 1 species